AUACAGAGGGUGCGAGCGUUAAUCGGAAUUACUGGGCGUAAAGCGUGCGUAGGCGGUUAGUUAAGUCAGAUGUGAAAGCCCUGGGCUCAACCUGGGAAUUGCAUUUGAUACUGGUUGACUUGAGUAUGGGAGAGGGAAGUGGAAUUUCCGGUGUAGCGGUGAAAUGCGUAGAUAUCGGAAGGAACACCAGUGGCGAAGGCGACUUCCUGGACCAUUACUGACGCUGAAGCACGAAAGCGUGGGGAGCAAACAGGAUUAGAUACCCUAGUAGUCC
rnacentral:rRNA from 1 species